GUCAAGGGAAGAGAACAGUUAUGUCACUUGUGCAGAAGAGACUUCAAAAGGAAAAAAAACUUCACUAAAACUACCAGAAAUACCCACAAUUUCAUUCUGAUCAUUCUGAUCAUUGAGGCUGAUUGUGAGUCAAGUCUGUAUCUGCUGAGGAAGUUAAGUGAUGCACCCUCUAAUUAAGUCUCUGCAGCAGCUUCCUCCUACAUAAAUGGGCUGGUGGAUUCCUGGUUGUUCCUGUGGUCACCAGUGCAACUGAGGGACCCAUCUGAGUGACAGGUUCUUCUCUCAACUGUUUGAGUUUGAAAAGCAAAGACAGCCAAAAGGAGAUUGUUUUGGAGAGAAGUGAUAGCCAACCUGGGAUAGCAGUCAAGGAAACCUCAGUGGUGUCAUGAUUCAAUCACAAGGAGCAGGGGCAGUAGGCUUGAUGUGAAGUCCACAGCAGUGAAGGGAUAAACCCUUAUCAGCUCUGGCCCAGCCCCUGACACAGCACUCAGAGUCACUCAGGCUGAAAGAGUGGAAACCAGCCAAAACUCCAGCUCAUAUGCCAAGAAAGCCCAAAUGAAGAGAUGAGUGGAAAAUACCAGAUGCUUAAAUUUGUCUUGGAUUUUCUCAAAACUGCUAAGACUGGUUUUCUCCUUAAUUAGCCAAAUAAGGGAUGGAGUGCAUUUGUUUUUCAUGUACAGAUAUUUCUUGGAUCCUAUGGGUUAACCACCUCUAGGGCACUGCUGUCCCUGUCAGAAGAGGAGACAAAUGUGGCUUUUUUAGACAACAUGAAGAGGAGAUGAGUGCUGCAGAGGACAUCCCAUCCUCCUCACCCACAGCACUGCUGCCCUGCCAGGAUUCCCCCAAGACUGAGAUUCCUGGGAUUGCUGUUGCCUGGAAGUCAGUUUACAUUUCUGUCCUGAGAAGGAAUUACUCUCAAUGCAUGAUUUUUUCCCAACUAGACAAGAUUUAUUUUCAGUCCAAGAGCUGUCUUUUGUUCAGUGCUUAGUUUGUUGUGUCACUUUUAAUGACUACAGUAAUAUCUGGAAAAAGAGAUAACUAGAAAAGCCUACAGCACUUGAUUAUUCUGCUCAGAAUAUCUGACACAGCCCUUUCAGAGAGCAGAUGUAAGUGGUAUGAAAGCAUACAAUUUCAUGGUAAUAUUAAUAUUCCAGUUAUUUCCAUAAAUUUAUACAAUAUACAGAUACACUAAUAUUAAUGUCACACUUAGAAAAAAUGAAAUACA